GAUGAACGCUGGCGGCGUGCUUAACACAUGCAAGUCGAACGGAAAGGCCCAAGCUUGCUUGGGUACUCGAGUGGCGAACGGGUGAGUAACACGUGGGUGAUCUGCCCUGCACUUCGGGAUAAGCCUGGGAAACUGGGUCUAAUACCGGAUAGGACGAUGGUUUGGAUGCCAUUGUGGAAAGUUUUUUCGGUGUGGGAUGAGCUCGCGGCCUAUCAGCUUGUUGGUGGGGUAAUGGCCUACCAAGGCGUCGACGGGUAGCCGGCCUGAGAGGGUGUACGGCCACAUUGGGACUGAGAUACGGCCCAGACUCCUACGGGAGGCAGCAGUGGGGAAUAUUGCACAAUGGGCGCAAGCCUGAUGCAGCGACGCCGCGUGGGGGAUGACGGCCUUCGGGUUGUAAACUCCUUUCGCUAGGGACGGAGCGUUUUUGUGACGGUACCUGGAGAAGAAGCACCGGCUAACUACGU
rnacentral:rRNA from 1 species